rnacentral:rRNA from 1 species
GUUUGAUCCUGGCUCAGGAUGAACGCUGGCGGCGUGCUUAACACAUGCAAGUCGAACGAAGCACUUUACCACGAUUCCUUCGGGAUGACGGUUUGGUGACUGAGUGGCGGACGGGUGAGUAACGCGUGGGGAACCUGCCCCAUACCGGGGGAUAACAGCCGGAAACGGCUGCUAAUACCGCAUAAGCGCACAGUACCGCAUGGUACGGUGUGAAAAACUCCGGUGGUAUGGGAUGGACCCGCGUCUGAUUAGCCAGUUGGCGGGGUAACGGCCCACCAAAGCGACGAUCAGUAGCCGGCCUGAGAGGGCGACCGGCCACAUUGGGACUGAGACACGGCCCAGACUCCUACGGGAGGCAGCAGUGGGGAAUAUUGCACAAUGGGGGAAACCCUGAUGCAGCGACGCCGCGUGAGUGAGGAAGUAUUUCGGUAUGUAAAGCUCUAUCAGCAGGGAAGAAGAAAUGACGGUACCUGACUAAGAAGCCCCGGCUAACUACGUGCCAGCAGCCGCGGUAAUACGUAGGGGGCAAGCGUUAUCCGGAUUUACUGGGUGUAAAGGGAGCGCAGGCGGCAUGAUAAGUCUGAUGUGAAAACCCAAGGCUCAACCAUGGGACUGCAUUGGAAACUGUCGUGC